UACGUAGGGUGCAAGCGUUGUCCGGAAUUAUUGGGCGUAAAGAGCUCGUAGGCGGUUUGUCGCGUCUGCUGUGAAAACUCGGGGCUUAACCCUGGGCCUGCAGUGGGUACGGGCAGACUAGAGUGCGGUAGGGGAGACUGGAAUUCCUGGUGUAGCGGUGAAAUGCGCAGAUAUCAGGAGGAACACCGGUGGCGAAGGCGGGUCUCUGGGCCUGUACUGACGCUGAGGAGCGAAAGCGUGGGGAGCGAACAGG
rnacentral:rRNA from 1 species